AUUGAACGCUGGCGGCGUGCCUAACACAUGCAAGUCGAGCGGUAACAGGUGUAGCAAUACAUGCUGACGAGCGGCGAACGGGUGAGUAAUGCUUCGGAAUCUACCCAAUGGUGGGGAAUAACCAGCCGAAAGGUUGGCUAAUACCGCAUACGUCCCACGGGAGAAAGCAGGGGAUCGCAAGACCUUGCGCCAAUGGAUGAGCCGAAGUCGGAUUAGCUAGUGGUAGGGUAACGGCCUACCAAGGCGACGAUCCGUAGCUGGUCUGAGAGGACGACCAGCCACACUGGGACUGAGACACGGCCCAGACUCCUACGGGAGGCAGCAGUGGGGAAUACUGGACAAUGGGGGAAACCCUGAUCCAGCGACGCCGCGUGUGUGAAGAAGGCCUGGCGGGUUGUAAAGCACUUUUAGUGGGGAUGAAAUGUUCAGGGUUAACACUCUGGUAUUUUGACCUAACCACAGAAAAGCACCGGCUAACUCUGUGCCAGCAGCCGCAAGU
rnacentral:rRNA from 1 species